rnacentral:lncRNA from 1 species
AAUUUAAAAUCAACUUGCUAAAACUAAAGUAGUAACAUAAAAUAAAAUGAUAAACUAAAAAGUAACAUGUUAAACUUAAAUUUCUAUGGAAAAACUAAAUCUCUAGUCAUUCUCGACUUCCAUGGCCACCUCAACUCCAGAACUGCAAAACUUAAAACUUGCUUUGAAAAUAUUUUUGACGAAACAUAAAUACGUUGAUUCCUGAUAAAAAAAAAUUAAACUCCUCUAUCCGAAAAGAAAAAGAAGAAG